ACUCCUACGGGAGGCAGCAGUGGGGAAUAUUGCACAAUGGGCGCAAGCCUGAUGCAGCCAUGCCGCGUGUAUGAAGAAGGCUUUUCGGGUUGUAAAGUACUUUUCAGCAGUGAGGAAGGUAGUGUAGUUAAUAGCUGCAUUAUUUGACGUUAGCUGCAGAAGAAGCACCGGCUAACUCCGUGCCAGCAGCCGCGGUAAUACGGAGGGUGCGAGCGUUAAUCGGAAUUACUGGGCGUAAAGCGCAUGCAGGUGGUUUGUUAAGUCAGAUGUGAAAGCCCGGGGCUCAACCUCGGAAUAGCAUUUGAAACUGGCAGACUAGAGUACUGUAGAGGGGGGUAGAAUUUCAGGUGUAGCGGUGAAAUGCGUAGAGAUCUGAAGGAAUACCGGUGGCGAAGGCGGCCCCCUGGACAGAUACUGACACUCAGAUGCGAAAGCGUGGGGAGCAAACAGGAUUAGAUACCCUGGUAGCACAGAG
rnacentral:rRNA from 1 species